rnacentral:rRNA from 1 species
GUGCACGCUGGCGGUAGGCCUAACACAUGCAAGUCGAACGGCAGCACAGUAAGAGCUUGCUCUUACGGGUGGCGAGUGGCGGACGGGUGAGGAAUACAUCGGAAUCUACUUUUUCGUGGGGGAUAACGUAGGGAAACUUACGCUAAUACCGCAUACGACCUACGGGUGAAAGCAGGGGAUCUUCGGACCUUGCGCGAUUGAAUGAGCCGAUGUCGGAUUAGCUAGUUGGCGGGGUAAAGGCCCACCAAGGCGACGAUCCGUAGCUGGUCUGAGAGGAUGAUCAGCCACGCUGGAACUGAGACACGGUCCAGACUCCUACGGGAGGCAGCAGUGGGGAAUAUUGGACAAUGGGCGCAAGCCUGAUCCAGCCAUACCGCGUGGGUGAAGAAGGCCUUCGGGUUGUAAAGCCCUUUUGUUGGGAAAGAAAAGCAGCAGGUUAAUACCCCGCUGUUCUGACGGUACCCAAAGAAUAAGCACCGGCUAACUUCGUG